UACGGAGGGGGCAAGCGUUGUUCGGAAUUACUGGGCGUAAAGGGCGCGUAGGCGGAAUGGCAAGUCGGUCGUGAAAUCCUUCGGCUCAACCGAAGAACGUCGAUCGAAACUGCCGUUCUUGAGGAUUGCAGAGGAGACUGGAAUUCCCGGUGUAGCGGUGAAAUGUGUAGAGAUCGGGAGGAACACCGGUGGCGAAGGCGGGUCUCUGGGCAAUUCCUGACGCUGAGGCGCGAAAGCGUGGGGAGCAAACGGG
rnacentral:rRNA from 1 species